CCCGAGCCCUUAAUCCCACACACACCUGUGAACCUAUUGUAAGGGCCCGUAAAAAAGGCCUUUACGUCUUUAUCACCUACCCGAAGUCUCAUAGAAUGUAAACAUAUGUCCUCGCCUUAAAAAAGCGCUGAUAAAAUUAUACAACUUUCAACAACGGAUCUCUUGGCUCUCGCAUCGAUGAAGAACGCAGCGAAAUGCGAUAAGUAAUGUGAAUUGCAGAUUUUCAGUGAAUCAUCGAAUCUUUGAACGCACCUUGCGCUCCUUGGUAUUCCGAGGAGCAUGCCUGUUUGAGUGUCAUUAAAUUCUCAAACUCUGAUUGAUUUGUUUCAAUCGAGCUUUGGAUUUGGAGCGUGCCGGCGUCAGUUGGCUCCUCUUGAAUGCAUCAGCGGAAUCCCAUUCAUUUCGGACGUCAGUGUGAUAAUCAUGUUGCGCUGUCUUUGCGAUCUUGAAAGCCCGCUCACAAUGGUCUUCGGACAAACCUCACAUAUCAUAUUUGACCUCAAAUCAGGUAGGACUAC
rnacentral:rRNA from 1 species